rnacentral:lncRNA from 1 species
UGGGCCCAAUUGGUUUAUGCAAAAUAUAGAUUUGAUGGUUUUUGGCUUUCUCAUAGGAUGCAAAGAGGUUGCUCUCCUAUAUGGAAUAAGCUAUGUAUUAAAAUUGUCAGAAUCUUAUCUAUUAUAAAAUCUUGAAUAUCACGGCUCUUCUAUAUAUUGCUUGCAGAAUCUUGACUUAUCAACCCGUUAUAGAAUCUUGGAUAUUGGUGC